rnacentral:misc_RNA from 1 species
GAAGAAGCAGAGGCAGAACAGGCCAAUUCCUUACUGGAUCCGUAUGAGGACUGAUAACACAAUCAGGUACAAUGCUAAGCGUAGACACUGGCGUAGGACCAAGCUAGGAUUUUAAGGUGGAAGAAUCGUGUUUUAUUUAAGUUUUUAAUGGAAAAACUUCUCGGAUUAUGUUUUAUUUUCGAGUUCAAUAGGAGCUCAUUUGCUGAGGAAACAGACUGUGCUUUUAAUUUUGGAAGAGAUUUAUAUAUUAAUGACCGAUUAUGAAGUCGUUUUGUUUAAUUUGAGCUGUUAAAUGUUGGUUAAUAGUAGUAUUUUGUUAUUGCAUUUUCAUGCAUUGAGUUAUCUGUUUGUGAUUUAUAUAUUAAUGACCGAU